CAAGGUCUUGCUGUGUUUCCCAGACUGGUCUCUUGAACUCCUGGGCUCAAGUGAUCCUCCCAAUUCUGGCUCCCAAUGUUCUGGAAUUACAGAUAAAUUGAGAAGACAAUUCCUAAGCCCGUUGUUGCCAUCACACCCUCUUAACCCACCAUGGAAACCUCACUAGGACACCCUGAGAAGCAUCACACACAGGAGAUGCUACGGGAGAGGAAGAGGGUGCCUUUUGACUUAUGAAAAAGCUGUGCCUCUAAGAAAACAAGAAGUCCAGAUUGGAGUCCAGAAAAAAGGAAAAGCAGCAAGUAAUAGUCUGUUACCCUACAUUCUCCUAGGUGCCAGGCUCAAAGGAUAAAAUUAAGGUCACUUGAAGAUUUUCUUCUAGGCUGGCCUGCCUGAUUCACUUGAACAGGAAAAUAGCCAAAAAUUUGGGGUCUAGAUCUAGAGUAAAUAUUGUUCAUUUUUCAAGAAAAUUCUACCAAAGAAUUAUGCCUCCCUAUAUCCGUUCACGCCUUUACAAAUAUUUACUGAAUGUCUACAAAUUAAGCAAGCACUGUCCUAGCCACUGGGGAUACAGAAGUGGGCAAGACAUACAACAGCCUUGUCUUCGUGGAGCUUACAUUCUCUCCUAAGGAGACUGGCAGUCACCUAAAUCAGUAAAAUUUAUAAUGUGUCAGAUGAGAUAAGUGCCAUGGAGAAAAAUAAUGCAGAGAAAGAAGAUGGGACAUGCCUGGCAGAGAUGAUCAUCUGCAAUAAGUUGGUUAUGGAAAGCCUCACUGAGCAGGUAAUAUUUUGCUAAGACUUGAAGAAGAGGAAGGAAUAAGUCAUGGGACUAUCUGGGAAAUGACCAUGGGAAUGAUCAAACAGGGAAUGAUCCAUGAGGGCAUUUGAGACAAACUUUGCAGGAAAGGGAAACACCAGUGUCAAACUCCUGAGGACAUAAACUAUUUAGGGUUUUAGAGGAACAAGAUGUGAGUCAAUUGGUGGAACCCAGUGAGUGAAGGAUUAAAUAAUAGAAGAAAGCUAGAGAGCUAGUUUGAGGGUCUUAGAGACUAGGGGCAGAGGGUAGCUUUUACUCUGAAUGAGAUGGGAAACCCCUGAAGUUUUCAGCAGAAGAGUGGUAAGAUCUGACUUCGGUUUUAAAGAGUGUAUGUCAUAUAUGCACAUGCUACAGAGCAUAUUUUAGACAAUAUUAUAUAAAAAGUUACUUUUUAAAAAAAAAAAUCAAACAUUUAUAUUAGAGGAUCACUAUUUAAAUUUUUGCAACAUAGGGAUAUAAUUAUACAUCUAGAUUAUGGGAAAUUGCAAGUACAAACAUCCAGGUUUGUUUAACAACAGCAAUGACAAGUAGGAAAUCUCCAUAUUCACUUUAAAAAUGUAAGAGACAACUGGGGAUAUCGAACACUUUAUAUUUGUGAUAUUAAAGAAUUAUUGUUAGUGCGGUUUUUAGCAUAAUAACAACACUACUUUAAAAGCCCUUCUCCUUUAGAGGUAAAUACAGCUCAGCACAUCAUAGUGAAGAGAGCAUUGGGAUGCGAGAUCAAAGCAGGCAUGUCAGGCUGCUUUUUGACUUUGUGGCCCUGAGCUAGUGACAUAAGGACCAUGGAGUUCAGUUUCCUCCUCUAAAAUAUAAAGAAGUCAGACCAGAUGAUCACUAAGGUUUCUUCCAAAUCUAAGACAUAAUCUUUGUGAUGGUUGAUUUGCAUUAAUUUUUAUUUCAGCGACUGCCCUAAAGCAAACAUAUGCUACUAAAGGACGAAAAAAAAACAUAGUACCAAGCCAGAAUCCUGAGAGAGCCAAUAAGCUGCCUGAGAAUUAGAUAAUACCAUUACUUCAAUUCCAGAUUCCUCUCGUAACAAUCUACAUAAAAAGACAUAGAAAAUCAUUCUCUUUAUCAAGGGUCUGCAAACUUUAGUAAAGAGCUGGAUAGAAAAUAUUUUCAGCUUUGUUGGAUAUAAGAUCUCUGUUUCAACUCCUCAACUCUGCUGUUGUUAUGCAAAAACAGCCAUAUGGAAUAUAUAAAUAAACGGCGGUAGCUUGGCUGUGUUUGAAAAAACUUUAUUUAUAAAGUAGGCAACAGGCAGCAUUUGGCCCAUAGGCUACAGUUUGCUGAUCCCAGCUCUUUAGCAUGUUCAGAUAUUAAUAUGAGGAUCUUUAUACAAUCAGAUAAUGCAGAGAUAUUAAGUCAUAUUCUUCUGUUUUACAUAUUCUUAAUUUGCAUAUUCCUGUAGCCUAUUGGUGACAGUGACUAAUAAUGAGAUCUAAUGCUGUUUAUUAAGUCCAGUCUCUUUUCUUCAUCUCCGCUGCUUCCUACUAGCGUCUCUUACUUGGAUUAUUGCAAAAUGCCUUAGGUUUUCACUCUGUUACAGAGAUCCUCUCAACAAGGAAAUCAUAGCUUGUCAAUGCCCUGCUUAAAAGCUUGCAUGGCUUCUAAAAUUCCUCACCAAGACCUCCCCAAGUCACUUGCCCUCUCAUUCUCAAGGCUCCAAGCAUUCUUCCUGUGUCUGCACACACUGAGCUCGUUCCCAUCUCAGUGUGUCUGCCUUUACCAUAACCUCUGCCUGGAAUGCUUAUUUUACAGAUCAUCAUGUGGCUCAACUUUUAAGUCUCAAUUCAAAUAUCACCCUCUCAAAUAAGCCUUCACUGACCACCAUACCCUUGCCCUCAUUAUUCCACAACUAGUGCCCUUUUAUUUCUUCCUAAACGUAUCACCAUUUCGAAUGACAUUACCUACUUAUUUGCUUGCACAUUUAUUGUCUGUUAAUCCAUUAUAUUAUGAAUUCUUUCAGGGCCAAGAUUUUAUCUCAUCCAUUCCUCUAACCCCAGCACCUAGAACAGUGCUUGGCAUUUAAUAGAUAUCCAAUAAGUAUCUGUUGAAUAAAUUACUCUCCAAUAUUUUAUAUGUGUAAAAGCCCAUAUUUUUUCUUAAAAUGAAAUUAUGCUGUAUACUAAUAUCAGUCAGUGCAAAGUAUUGUAACAAAUGGUCCCAGAAGGUAUAAUGGUCCUGACAUAGUAAAAGUGUAUUUCUUGCUCAAAUGACAAUAUUGGGCAGAUGGACAGGUUGGCAGCCUUCUCUGCCCAGUUAUUCCUAGGUUGACAGCAGCUCUGCCGUCUUCAAUAGGUGGCUUUCCUGGCUGUCCUAAGGCAUCUGUAGUCUAACCAGCCUGAAGUGUAAAAAAGCAUUAAAAGUCCAGUAAGAUAUUUCGAGGACCAAAUGUGGAAGUGGCACAUUUCAUCUCUGCUCAUAUUUCACUGGCUAGAACAUUGUUACAUCCAGAUGCAAGGAAUACUGGGAAGUGUAGUCAUUGCCUGGGCCAGCCCUUCUCAGUCACAACUACUGUAUUGGAGUGGAAGCCCUGAUCAUGAACAGAGAGCUGAUCAUCUCUGCCAGAGCACCCAUUAACUACAACACCUCCACAUUCACCUGCCAGCCGCCAUUAAAUGUGAAAACUAUAGAGCUCGUGUUACAGAAUUAGUACAUCCAAACAAUUUUCACAAGGUCUAUAACAAUUCAAACUUAGUGAAAUAAAGUGGAAAAUAAUAUAAAUCCUUGUCCUCACUACUAAUGCUUGUAUUUUGACCUUUUCUAUUUCUGGAUCCAGGACCUUUCUAAGUCAUAUAAAUCAUGCCCCACCUGACUUUGCCUGUAAGUCCCUUCAUGCCAUAUCCCAGGGAUCAUGUGUCUUGUUUCUCUGAUUAGCUACAAAGUCAUUCAUGGGAUGUUCUAGGCUCAUUCUUCAUCCCAUAUCCCUGAUGGGCUUUUAUCAAACUUCCUCAAGAUCUAAUCUGAAAAAAAUCAUAGUUUACAGUAAAAACCAAUCUGUACUUAAAAUAUUCACAAAAUAACUAUUAUAUAUGUAUAUAAAUUACCAAAAUAUUAAAACACUUAUCCUUUCUCAGUGAUAGGAACAUGUAUAAUUUUGUACUAUUCUUUUAUCAUCUGUAUUUUUAAAAAUAUUCUAAUAUAUUUCCUAAGAAUAAAUAAAAUGCAAGUCCAUCGAUUUGCAAUCAACUUAAGGCCCUGGUGUGGCCUCUGUCUACUUUCCCUCACCCAAUUCCCAUACUUCAUUUGAGGUUCUGCUGCUUUUGCUAUACUUUUAAGGAAACUUUGCUUAAAAAGGAAAGGGAGGAAAGUAGCUUCUGAAAUUCUGCAUAUUGUACCUUUGCCUUUAAUCAUGUAACAUGCUUGCCUGGUAAAGGACUUUACUAUAAAGACAGAUUUUUAUAGCUGCAAAAACCCAACAUAAAAUGGGACAUUGAACAAGACCUUAGCUUGUCCAUUAUAUCACUAAUAGGAUUUUACCUAUACACGAACAAUCCAGGAACCACGUUUUAAGUAGCAGCUUCAACCACUCUAAUUUUCUCAAGACUGGUAACAAGAACAAGCACAAUGAGUGAGACGUGCAACGUUUGGGAGAUUGUCAUGCUUGAGGCUCU